GACUCUGAAUCCAGCGAUCCGAGUUC
rnacentral:piRNA from 6 species